rnacentral:rRNA from 1 species
AGAGUUUGAUCAUGGCUCAGAGCGAACGCUGGCGGCAGGCUUAACACAUGCAAGUCGAGCGGGCGUAGCAAUACGUCAGCGGCAGACGGGUGAGUAACGCGUGGGAACGUACCUUUUGGUUCGGAACAACACAGGGAAACUUGUGCUAAUACCGAAUAAGCCCUUACGGGGAAAGAUUUAUCGCCGAAAGACCGGCCCGCGUCUGAUUAGCUUGUUGGUGAGGUAACGGCUCACCAAGGCGACGAUCAGUAGCUGGUCUGAGAGGAUGAUCAGCCACAUUGGGACUGAGACACGGCCCAAACUCCUACGGGAGGCAGCAGUGGGGAAUAUUGGACAAUGGGCGCAAGCCUGAUCCAGCCAUGCCGCGUGAGUGAUGAAGGCCCUAGGGUUGUUUUGUUCUUUUGUGCGGGAAGAUCCUGACGGUACCGCAAGAAUAAGCCCCGGCUAACUUCGUGCCAGCAGCCGCGGUAAUACGAAGGGGGCUAGCGUUGCUCGGAAUCACUGGGCGUAAAGGGUGCGUAGGCGGGUCUUUAAGUCAGAGGUGAAAGCCUGGAGCUCAACUCCAGAACUGCCUUUGAUACUGAGGAUCUCGAGUUCGGGAGAGGUGAGUGGAACUGCGAGUGUAGAGGUGGAAUUCGUAGAUAUUCGCAAGAACACCAGUGGCGAAGGCGGCUCACUGGCCCGAUACUGACGCUGAGGC